GGUGUACCGAGCAGUUCCGUCCAGUCACUGUCCGUUAGUGUAGGUGAUUUUGACGACGGCGAGCGUUUUGAUGCGGCAGAAAUCACAUUAUCCUGGCUUCUGCUUACAUUCAAACUUAGAUCACUUCGCAAUUUUCCAUGAUAAUCGUUAUCUACUUGGUUCUUCUUCUUCUUGAGUUGAUCCUUCAAAGGCAAGUUUUCU
rnacentral:misc_RNA from 1 species